AACGUAGGAGACAAACGUUAUCCGGAGUUACUGGGCGUAAAGGGCGUGUAGGUGGUUUCGUAAGUCUGGCGUGAAAUUUUUCGGCUUAACCGGGAAAGGUCGUCGGAUACUGCGGAGCUAGAGGACGGUAGAGGCGUGUGGAAUUCCGGGUGUAGUGGUGAAAUGCGUAGAGAUCCGGAGGAACACCAGUGGCGAAGGCGACACGCUGGGCCGUACCUGACACUGAUGCGCGACAGCAGUGGGGAGCAAACGAG
rnacentral:rRNA from 1 species